AUCUACCACCAUACCACCCUGAACGCACCUGAUCUCGGAAGGUAAGCAGGGUGGGGCCUGGUUAGUACUUGAAUGGGAGACCCUCUGGGAAUACCAGGUGCUGUAGGCU
ensembl:rRNA 5S_rRNA 5S ribosomal RNA